AAGGCAGACGCCCAGCUGUCGGAGCCACCCAGAGAUUACUUGGCGCUGUGUGGGGCAUGGAUUGCGGGAUCGCAGAGGGAGAAGCUCCAAGAAUACUUCGGGACCGUGGUGGGCUGGAGCGAGGUGAAAUGAGCAGCUUCAUGAUUUCCAUGCUGGUUCCUUGUCUACGACGUCCGGAGGGCAAGGGCACAGAUACCCUCCUAAGUACGGGUACGCGGCCAGCCCCACGUCACGCUGCAGGACGCGGGCAGAGGCUCCUCAGAGAGAAUGAGAGACAGAGAGCAUGAGAGGGAGGAGGGUC